rnacentral:rRNA from 1 species
UACGAGGGGGACAAGUGUUAUUCCCACUAACUGGGCGUAAAGCGCUUCUAGGCAGUUGUUGCCGCCAAAGGUGAAUUACUAGAGUUGAUUUUAGACCGGCCUUUUGAUACGAACAACUUUGAGUUGGAGCACGGGGGAUGCACUACGUUGGGGAGUAGGGGUAAAAAAUGUCAAUACCCAACGAGUACCAGGGGCAGAGGCGGCA